rnacentral:rRNA from 1 species
AGUGAACGCUGGCGGCGUGCUUAGCACAUGCAAGUCGAACGAGAACGGGUUAUAGCUUGCUAUAAUUGUCAGCUAAGUGGCGCACGGGUGAGUAAUGUAUAGGUAAUAUGCCUCUUACUAAGGGAUAACAAAUGGAAACGUUUGCUAAUACCUUAUACUCCUUAUUAACAUAAGUUAAUAAGGGAAAGAUUUAUUGGUAAGAGAUUAGCCUGUAUUGUAUCAGUUAGUUGGUGGGGUAAUGGCUUACCAAGACUAUGACACAUAACUGGUUUGAGAGGAUGAUCAGUCACACUGGAACUGAGACACGGUCCAGACUCCUGCGGGAGGCAGCAGUGGGGAAUAUUGCACAAUGGACGAAAGUCUGAUGCAGCAACGCCGCGUGGAGGAUGACACAUUUCGGUGCGUAAACUCCUUUUAUAUGAGAAGAUAAUGACGGUAUUAUAUGAAUAAGCACCGGCUAACUCCGUGCCAGCCGCCGCAGUAA